UCUUCUCAAAACAUAAAAAGAGAACAAAAGAGCAUUUAGAAGAAAAAAAACUACAACACAAAACCCUAAACCACCUCUGUUCAUCAACUCCACACCCAGCCCGUCGACCACCCCAUCACCUGAGGCCGUCGCUGCCCAGUCAACAACCAAACGACCUCACCUUCCGUCCAAAACAGCCCGUCACCUCCACCCCAAACCCAGUCGAUCAGCUCACCAUUGUCAAACGACUAGUCCAGUCGCCAACUUCGCCGACCACUGCUUCACCUUCAGUCGAACCAGCACGCCACUGUCACGACGCCUCUCACACCAUUUUUUAGCGGACUGUUUGAUCUUCUUCAUCUUGAAGAAGAUAGAACAAACAAAAUGCUAAACCAGUCCACCAGUCCGUCGCGUCACCCUCAAGCCAACCAACUGCUACUGUUUCGUCGUCACGUCCAAACGACAGUCGUAACACCAACCCCAGGUACACGCAACCAGUCUAAACAGUCAAAUCUCCAUAACGGGUCGUCUACGCUGCUGUCCGGAAGGUCGUUGCAUUCCAUUUCUUUGGCCUGUUUGAGUCCAUUUCGGAACUCGCUGGUGAGGUCUGCUCCGAGCCAGUGGUUGAAGUCUCGAGGUCGUUUCAUCAAGGUCCGGUCUGUCUGAGGUUCAUCAAUUUCCGGCGAAGGUUUGAGGUCGUCGAGUUUGUGUUCCGUUGCGGUCAUUUCCGGUGAGUACUCUAAGUUGUAAUUUUGAAUCGAUGAAAGGCCCAAAUUUUAAACGUUAUUUGCUUAGUGAAUUUCAGAUUCGUUUCUCUUAUUUCGUUCUUGUGCUUGAAUUUGUGCGUAUUAAUAUUUUAAUAAUUAUUAAAAACGGUAAACAUGAUUAUUAAUAAUUUUGUGCAUGAGCUUGUGUUCUACUGAAGAUUGUAUUUUUACGUUACUACUUACAUUAUAUAGAAUUGCUAGUGGUUUUAUUCUUUGUAUGUCCUUAGUAUUGUUCUUUGACUUUGUUAAGUAUAUUUGGUAGGAUACAUGUUUGGAGAUUAUAGUUUGUUAAUAUUAGGAUAUUAGAUUAAUUUCUUUUUAAAAAAAAACUAUUAUGAUAGGGAAGUUGCCUUCAAAUUACAGCUUGCUGCACGGAAUAUGGGUUUUAUCAUACUUUAAAAAUGAGAGGAGCCUCGCUAAACAAACACAUAAUUGCGAGGCUCUCAUAAAUGUAUAUAUUAAAAAUACUUAGACUGUGGGACAUGCCGUUUAGCGAAUUUCAUGGCAUUCUCAAAAUAAUAACGCGUUAGUAUUUUUAGGCGCGUAUUUAAUAAUAUUAUUUCCCUAAACCUGGGUGCACAAUUAUGUGACCCAAAUCCAAAUCUCGACAGAGUCGAAAUGUGCCGACGACCACGUGUACACUGGUUGUAACGUUGUUCGAGAUGCAUUUCAAUGACAUUGCAAUUCUUUUAAAACUUAACAAAUGAGGUGUGUCUUGCCAAACAAAAAUACGCAAGCUGCGGGGCCCUCUACACGUGUCUUUAAAGUUAGUUAGACUCCGGGACGAGCCGUUUAGUAAAAUUUCACGGCCAUCCCCAAAAAAAUAAUAACAUCAUUUUUGCUUUAAUUUUGACUUUUGUUUUAACUUUUACUUUAACUUUUGCUUUAACUUUUUGUUUUUGCUUUAACUUUUUUACUUUUGCUUUAACUUUUGCCUUUUGCUUUAAUUUUUUCUUUAACUUUUGUUUUUGCUUUCCCUUUAAGCUUUAGCUUUAUUAAAGUAGUGCUAAUAAUAAGAAAAGCAAUUAAAAGAAUCAUGACUUGCACUAAGUACAUAAUUGUUAAAAUCAUAUAAAUAAGCCGAACAUGACAGUUGAGCGACAGUGCUAGAACCACGGAAGUCGAAAAUGCCUAACACCUUCUCCCUGGUUAAUAGAAUUCCUUAUCCGGAUUUCUGGUUCACACUGUAAUACAGAGUUAUUCUUUUUCCUCGAUUCGGGAUUUAACCAGUGAAUUGGGACACCAUAAAUCUCCCAAGUGGCGACUCUGAAUCUUAAAUAAUAAAUCUCCUUUUGACUGCCCUUUAAUUGGAAAAACUCCCUUACCCCUUGCACCUUUGCGGGUGCCGGAAAAAGGAGGUGUGACAGCUCUGGUGACUCUGCUGGGGAAUAAAGUUGUUGACCUAUACACCCCUGCAAAGGAGCGUAAAGGAGUUUUUCCACUUAAAGGGCAAUCGGAAUGAGAUUUAUUUAUUAUUUAUUCAAAGUCGCUACUUGGGAGAUUAAUGGUUUCCAAAGUCACCUAUUGAAUCCCGAACAGAGGAAAAAGAUGACUCUGUUCACAGUCCGCGAACCAAAAAUUCGGAUAAGGAAUUUUGUUAAUUCGGGAAAAGGUGUUAGGCAUUCCCGAGUUUCGUGGUUCUAGCACGGUCGCUUACUGUUGCAUUUGAUUUUAUCAGGUUUUAAUACAUGCUAACUUAUGUGAUUUUUAUUUAUAAACCGCAUUCACCAAUAUUUAUUUUAAAAGAGUUGCGACGUCGUGAAAAUGUGUUUCUGACCACGUCGCCAUCAAGGCACCCGUGUACGUCAACACAUUUCGACUUCGUCGAGAUUUGGAUUUGGGUCGCAUCAAUGCGCACCCUAGUUGAAGAAAGUAAUUUAAUUAAAUCGCGCUUAAAGGUUCUAACGUAAUAUUGUUCGGGAAAGGCCGUUGAAAUUUGCUAAAUGACCCUUCCAAAUUCUAAUCAUUUUUAAUAACCAAUUACUGAGGGCCCCACAUGUAUUUUUUUUCGGUGAGGCUCGUCUCCAAUUUGAACCAUUUUUAGAUCAUUAUUUGUUUUAUAAGAAUUACAACAUCAUGAAAACAUGUUUCUAACACCGUCCGCCAUCCAGGCACCCAUGGUUAUCAACACAUUUCGACUUCGUCGAGAUUUGGAUUUGUGUUGCAUCAAUGCACACUCGGGUUUAGGAAAGUAGUUUAAUUAAAUUGCACCUAAAGAUUCUAUCAUUUUAUUAUUUCGGGGAAGACCUUGAAAUUCACUAAACGGACCUCCCAUGUUCUAAUCAAUUCAUAUAAUUAUUUAUCGAGGGCCCCCACGAUUUGUAUUUUUAUUGAGCGAGGCUCGUCUCAUUUUAUUUUAAAAGGCCAACCUAAAAGUGACUAUGAUUUUCUAUUUUUGUUUUUAUCUAUAGUAAUUGGAGAGUCUUAGCUAAUUCUUAUUGUGAAAAUAUAAAUAAUUACUUCCAAUGAGCCAAAGGUUAUUCAGCCGUAGGUCUAAAGAGGCUCAGUUUCUCAAUACUAACAAUUAUAGGCAAUGGGCCUAUCAUCAGGCCAAACUGAGCGGAUACAGUGGCCAUGUUGGAACGGUCCAGGGUUCGAAUCCCUUUGGCCUGCGUGCCAUGUUCCCAUUUUACCCAAACAAUUGUCCAAAUUCUCAUGAAGUUCAAUAGAUUAUUAGUGACCAAACACAGUGUUCCCGUAUCCAAUUGGAACAUUUAAUAAUGAUUUCACUAAUGCCUAAAUUUUCAAAUUAACGUAUAAACUAUAUAACAAAUGAUCUCAAAUUGUAAUUAUAAGAUCUGCAUAGUGAACGAUUUCACUUAACAUCGCACUACAACAAUUAACUACUUCAAUUCUAAUAACGUGAACUAACAAAGCUGAAACUAUUAACUAUGAAAUUCACACACGAAUACAUUUACUAGUUUAAAAGUCCAGUAUCCUACUCGAAUUAAACAAACAUACUAAACUAACCAAUUGUACAAUUUCAGAUGGAUAGUGCACAUCUAUAGUAAGUUUAAUCCAUCCUAGUUUAGUUACAAUGAACCAUCAAAACAAAAAAAUUUCAGCAGAAAAGUGGCUUCCAUUUCAUCUCAUUGUUUCGACAGUAAUAGAUAUAUCAACAUAGGCUUAAAAUGUGUACCUGGAAUUAAGAAAUAGGAAGAACCAGAAUCAGUCAGCAACAACAGCUAUGAGCAGAAAUCAAUCAGCCAGAAAUCACUCCACAAUAGCCCAGAAAAUGAACUUAGCAGUUCAAGGGAAUUUCAAAACCAAAUCGAAUCCAAAAGCUCGAACACAAGCGGAUCAAUUAACACAGCCCUACCGGUUCAUUCUCAAAACAGCUUGGAAAUAGUAACAACAACUCAAAAUUGACCUAGAUAUCUUCUGAAAUUUUUUAUAGACUAAACCUCGACUAAAAUCAGCUUACUUAAACCCAAACUCAUUCGAAAUUAAGCCAAAGAGCUUUUGAAACUCAGCAACCAGAUAUUGAACUAGAGAAUACAAAUCACAUACCAAAACUUGACAUUAAACUGGAAUUUACAAUGGAACAAUAGUUUUUCUUUGGUUUUUCUAUUGUUUUUUUUUUGUUUUUGUGGUUUUCUUUUGAAUAUUCUAAGACCUAAGAGAAGAUUUCUGAAUUCCUAUUCAUUUUGCUAUUCAAAAUUGUUUCAAAUCUGUUGAGAGAGUUUUGGAUGAAAUUUUGGGGCUCCAAACUUGUGAAUGAAGUAAAGGAGAUGCACUUUUAUAUGCACAAAUGAGGGCAGCGCUCUAAUUUUCUAUUUGCACUAUAAGUCCCUACCUAUUUUCAUUUUAAUCCUCUUAUUUCUAACUUGUUCCCCAUGUAACUACUACCAAAAUUGUUAAAACUACACUAAGACCCCAUUUGGAAUGUCUUGGAAGGUUCUUUUAGCUAUAAAAUGCCUAUAAUACCCUUACCCCUGUUUUGAAAUUACCAAACCUAAUAAAAUUACCCUUUUCUAUCCCCAAAGUGCCCUUGACCAUCCCCUAAAAUUACUAAUCAACCACAUCCCCUUUUACCUAAUUAAACUUUCACUACAGUUAACUAAAAGUGAACUAUCAGCUGUACCCAAACUAAUUGUCAUUAACAUUAAGAUUGAACAAAUUAAAACUAAACGAAAUCAAUUUUCAUACAACUUCCAAAUCCAAAUCAGACAAAUAUAAUUAACUAGCGACCCAAACUAAUCAAUCUAUAAUAGUAAUUAUAAAAGAGAAUCAACUAAGCUAAUAAUCCAUAUAGAAUCAAUAAUAAGAAAAGAAGAAAUAGAACAGUUCAGGCAGGCAUUCAACACGAGUGACAAAUUUAAACUUCGAACAAACAAGGUAAACUGAAACCUAAUAACACAAAUGACUAAUUAGCAGUAAUCAAUUGGGCAUUCCGACCAUCAAUAACUAGAAUUUAAAACCAAAAGAUGAGAAUCUAUCUAAGGUGAAUUAAACUAAACACGGAUGACAACUCAAGGAAGAAGAAUUGAUGCUACAACUUAACUGAAAAACUACAACUAUGCUUAGUCAAAUAGGCAAAUCGAAUUAACUAAAAACAGAAACUAAAUGGACAGAGAUACAAAAACUUACUGAUAGCUAAUCUUCAAACAUGAACUUUGAAAUUAACUCCGAGUUGAAGUUACAGGUUUAUCUCACAUGGGAUAAACCCAUAAUUUUAACUUGAAGUUAAGUCGUAUGGCAAAUUGACAACAUAGUCCGAAAAAGCACGAACGCUAGAUGUGGAAUUGAGGGCAGUCCGGUGAGAUUCGAGGGGAAACAACCACAUAUUUGUGAAGAAGAGGGCAAGUGAUCUCCUGGUAUCAAUUUGGGGGCAUUUGGGUAGACUUGAGAUUCGACUGAAAAUUGUGAUUUAAGAUUCGAAUCGUUUGGUUGAUAUUCGAAGGUCAAAGGUUGCAUACUCGGAUUGAGGGAGUUAAGGAGGCUUAGGGAUGUGAAUUUGGUAGCGUUUGGCAUCGGCGCCUCCACCCAAAGGCGGUGGGAUUUUGUGGCGGCGUCUCUAGGGUUUUCUGAGAGGAGGAAGCUAUGAAGAAGACGAUGGUGGGGUGGGUGGGGGCGUUUGGACAUUCUUAUAUUAAAGGAUGGGGGCUUCUAGACCGUCUGAUCUAUCAACCUCGACGGUCCAAAUUAAGUUGUUUGGUUAGAGCGGGGAACCGGGUUUGGGUGCAUUUGGGCCUGGAGCAGCCUAGGCUCGAUUUGGUGUAUUUUUGGGCUGGGGAAAUCUGACCCAAUUGGCCCUCUCUUCUCUUUCUUUUAAAUUAAUUUCUUUUUAUUUCCUUUUUGCUUGAUUUUUCACUUUAUAUAUUUUUCCAAAUUUUCUGAUUUCUAUACACAAUACACAAAAUAAGGAUAAAAAUCUAAUUAUUUUCAAAAUUAAACUAAUUACUUCCUAAAAUUAUUUAAAAAUCUAUUUUACGACAAACUAAUCAAUUAACAACUAAAACGCAAAAAUGACUAUUUUGUGAUAUUCAUGUUUUGUUCUAAAACAAACUAAACCCUAAUUAAUCCUGAAAUAUGAAAUUAAAUUCUAAAUGCAAAAUGCAUAUUUUUGUAUUUUUUUAUAAAUUAACAUGCACAUAUUAAAAUGCAGCAAUUAUCGAAAAAUGACACAAAAAUGCACAAAAAUAAAGAAAAUUCAUUUGUUUGAUUUUUAUGGCAAAAAUCACGUGCUCACAGCUGCCCUUCUUUGCUUGGAAACAUGAAAUAUUUUCAGACAACGAUAAGUGAGCAAAUACGAGCGAUUUUUGCCCGCUUGAAAAUUGCGUUGUGAAGCGUUUUGAAAAGUUUUGAACACACCCUGCUUCAGAGGUUUCCUACAUAUCCUGGGCUAAACAGGAAUCAGGUUAGUGUAGUUCGGGAGUGUGUGGUAGCUGGGACUACCAGGAGCUGUGAUUUCACUGCGCUUGCUGCUACUUCUACUGCUACUGCUUGCUGACCUUCCUUAUUACACCAUGUCGAAAAUAAAAGAAGCUAGCCUAAACUACAAGCUACGAAUUACAAAAAGACCUAUCUAAAAUCUUCAAACUUGUUGCCUUGUUGUCUUGUACUUUCUCUUGUUGUUACUUCAAAUCAUGCACUUAAACUUCCUUAUUACACCAUGUCGAAAAUAAAAGAAGCUAGCCUAAACUACAAGCUACGAAUUACAAAAUCCUAUCUAGAUUCUUCAAACUUGCAUCUUGUACGUCCUUGUUGUCUUGAGUUUCAUUGGUGAAACUCAUUGUUGUUACUUCAAAUCGUGCACUGCGAUGGUGUUCCUUCCCUCCAAAUUGUUGAACUUAAAUAAACUUGCACGUGAAUGUAUUCCUCUGUUGUCCAGGCGAGCUCCUGUUGUUGAACUUGAACUUGACUGUAUUCCUCUAUUAUGCAGGCGGGCUCCUGACUACUGAACUUGAAUUUAUAAAAGUAUUCCUCUGUUAUCCAGGCAGGCUCCUGACUACUGAACUUGAAUUUUUAUGUCUCUAUUCUCCAGGCGGACUCCUGAUUGCUGAAUUUGAACUUGACUGUAUUCCUCCGUUAUCCAGGCUGGCACCUGAUUUCAUAAAAAAUAGACAAAACAAAGAAAACUUUCUGCCCCAGUUUGGAAACUGGGCACUGUUACCGGAUAUUAAUAAGAAUGUUGACUAAAACUUG
rnacentral:lncRNA from 1 species